GUCCUUUUGUAGUUCAUAAGGGUGAACCUUUGUAGUUCAUAAGGUUUUCAUCCUCAUGUGUGAGACAUGUCUCCCUCAGACCUUGUUAUGAUGUUGGCACGUUGCCCGUCUGAUG
rnacentral:snoRNA from 2 species